rnacentral:rRNA from 1 species
GCUCAGUAACACGUGGAUAACCUGCCCYUGGGACCGGGAUAACCCCGGGAAACUGGGGAUAAUACCGGAUAACGCAUAUCUGCUGGAAUGCUUUAUGCGUAAAAUGGAUUUGUCUGCCCAAGGAUGGGUCUGCGGCCUAUCAGGUAGUAGUGGGUGUAAUGUACCUACUAGCCUACGACGGGUACGGGUUGUGAGAGCAAGAGCCCGGAGAUGGAUUCUGAGACAUGAAUCCAGGCCCUACGGGGCGCAGCAGGCGCGAAAACUUUACAAUGCGGGAAACCGUGAUAAGGGGACACCGAGUGCCAGCAUCAUAUGUUGGCUGUCCAGAUGWGUAAAAWACAUCUGUUAGCAAGGGCCGGGCAAGACCGGUGCCAGCCGCCGCGGUAACACCGGCGGCCCGAGUGGUGAUCGUGAUUAUUGGGUCUAAAGGGUCCGUAGCCGGUUUGGUCAGUCCUCCGGGAAAUCUGACGGCUCAACCGUUAGGCUUUCGGUGGAUACUGCCAGACUUGGAACCGGGAGAGGUAAGAGGUACUACAGGGGUAGGAGUGAAAUCUUGUAAUCCCUGUGAGACCACCUGUGGCGAAGGCGUCUUACCAGAACGGGUUCGACGGUGAGGGACGAAAGCUGGGGGCACGAACCGGAUUUUUACCCGGGUAGUCCCAGCCGUAAACGAUGCUCGUGGCUUCUUCAUGGCGCGACCGUGUCUGGUGCCGCAGAGAAGCCGUGAAGCGAGCC